CAACGGAUUCUGCUGUCCAGCAUCUGUCAGUGAGUGGUCUGUGGCGUCUCUUACAGGGUACAGCGCCGUGAAGUGUGGGAAACCCUCACUCCAGUUUGCUCACAACAAUGGGUGCUCACAGCCCUUCCAACGCAUCGUCCCGUGCCUUGAGAAGGUCUGUCAUGAAGAGGUAAUGCUCUUACGCAAUCAGCCCAGAGACGGGGAGCCUCCGUGAGAGACUAAGGAUUUGUGACACCGUUCCUCAUCUGUGGUCAUCAAUAAUAUUAAAUUAUGUUCCUUAUGCAGCUACCAAAUGAAAUUAAAUGAAUACAAGGUUUUCCAAAAAGAAUCAACAGAGUGGAUAAUCGAACCAAGGAUAGUCAAGAACUCACUAUAUCAAGAACUCCCCUUUUUCAUUUAUUUGUGAACUAUUUACCAAGCACUGCUCUGGUCAAGGCUCUGUGCUCAUCUCUGGGACUCCUGUUUCCAGGAGCUCACACUUUGACAGAAGAUAUAAGUCAUGCAGCUAAGUGACAAGCAUAGCAUAGUAGAGAGUGAUAGUUUUGUGAGAGAAACAGAAAAAAUCGUCUGCCACACCGGGUCAGAGGGGAGAGAGGCUUCAAAGGAAGUUAUGUGUGGCAGCAUGGGAAGUGGGUGUGAAGCAGCGGAUUGAAUUUGGACACUGGGAGGUAAGAAGUAAAUAAAUGGCAGGCAGGGGAAGUGGGGUUCUGCAGAAAGCCAGCUCCCUGCUCUUGGAAAAACUAAACUGAGUGUUAAUUUAGAGUGCUCCUGGUGUGUGCCUAAGACUCUGGGAACUUGAAGGGGAAAAAAAGGCGCACUGCUCACAGAAAUGCAAAUUUUUACCUAUUUCAUAAUGAGUUAAUUAUUGAGACCAUCCCCCUGAUAAAUGUCUUUUGUUUAUCUAACUCAUAUGACAAUAAAACCAGCACAGUAAUUGCCCCUCCCUCCCAUAAACUUGUUGGGGCCUUCUUGUUACUUGAUUAUGCAUUUGAGGAGUAAAACACAUAAUACUACCCUUUAGAAGGAAAACAUAAUUUCCAUUUCAAACAUUUGCUUUGUGUUCAUGCAGUUGGUGGUACACACACACACAUGCACAUUCAUUAGGAUAAUUAUCUCCAACACAAUCUACAUUUCUACAGAAUGUGUUUCAGAAGGGGGAAAAAAGGUCCUAAUAAAUAUAUAUGCUUGA